UGGGGAAUAUUGCACAAUGGAGGGAACUCUGAUGCAGCGACGCCGCGUGAACGAAGAAGGCUUUCGAGUCGUAAAGUUCUUUUAUAUGGGAAGAUAAUGACGGUACCAUAAGAAAAAGCCCCGGCUAACUACGUGCCAGCAGCCGCGGUAAUACGUAGGGGGCUAGCGUUGUCCGGAAUCACUGGGCGUAAAGGGUUCGCAGGCGGAAAUGCAAGUCAGGGGUAAAAGGCAGUAGCUUAACUGCUGUAAGCAUUUGAAACUGCAGAUCUUGAGAAGAGUAGAGGUAAGUGGAAUUUUUAGUGUAGCGGUGAAAUGCGUAGAUAUUAAAAAGAAUACCGGUGGCGAAGGCGACUUACUGGGCUCAUUCUGACGCUGAGGAACGAAAGCGUGGGUAGCAAACAGG
rnacentral:rRNA from 1 species